AUUCAGCUGAUGAGUCCCAAAUAGGACAAAAUGCACGUCAAAUUGGAU
rnacentral:hammerhead_ribozyme from 1 species